rnacentral:rRNA from 1 species
ACUACUUGGAUAACCGUGGUAAUUCUAGAGCUAAUACAUGCUAAAAACCUCGACUUCGGAAGGGGUGUAUUUAUUAGAUAAAAAGCCAAUGCCCUUCGGGGCUCCUUGGUGAUUCAUGAUAACUUCACGAAUCGCAUGGCCUUGCGCCGGCGAUGGUUCAUUCAAAUUUCUGCCCUAUCAACUUUCGAUGGUAGGAUAGUGGCCUACCAUGGUUUCAACGGGUAACGGGGUUUUAGGGAACGACUCCGGAGAGGGAGCCUGAGAAACGGCUACCACAUCCAAGGAAGGCAGCAGGCGCGCAAAUUACCCAAUCCCGACACGGGGAGGUAGUGACAAUAAAUACUGAUACAGGGCUCUUUUGGGUCUUGUAAUUGGAAUGAGUACAAUUUAAAUCCCUUAACGAGGAACAAUUGGAGGGCAAGUCUGGUGCCAGCAGCCGCGGUAAUUCCAGCUCCAAUAGCGUAUAUUAAAGUUGUUGCAGUUAAAAAGCUCGUAGUUGAACCUUGGGCCUGGCUGGCCGGUCCGCCUCAUCGCGUGCACUGGUCCGGCCGGGCCUUUCCUUUUGGGGAGCCUCAUGCCCUUCACUGGGUGUGUUGGGGAACCAGGACUUUUACUUUGAAAAAAUUAGAGUGUUCAAAGCAGGCAUAUGCUCGAAUACAUUAGCAUGGAAUAAUGAAAUAGGACGUGUGGUUCUAUUUUGUUGGUUUCUAGGACCGCCGUAAUGAUUAAUAGGGAUAGUCGGGGGCGUCAGUAUUCCGUUGUCAGAGGUGAAAUUCUUGGAUUUACGGAAGACUAACUACUGCGAAAGCAUUCGCCAAGGAUGUUUUCAUUAAUCAGUGAACGAAAGUUAGGGGAUCGAAGACGAUCAGAUACCGUCGUAGUCUUAACCAUAAACGAUGCCGACUAGGGA